rnacentral:tmRNA from 1 species
GGGGGCGAUUUGGCUUCGACGUGGAUCGCGAAGCUUAUAGGGCAUGUCGAGGAGCAGGUUACCUCGUAAAUCCAUCUGCAAAACAAUAGUUGCCAACGACGACAACUACGCCUUAGCGGCUUAAGUCCGCUGAGCCUUUGACUAAGUUGUGUAUAUGCACUUAGAGUUUGUGUUACAGCAAACGUUCAAGGGUCACUUUUCAUAUACUCGUAGCGACGUAUGUCUAGGGCAGAGCUACUAAAUUCUAACUAGGCUCACUAUUAAAAUUCCUGCUCGUCGGAAGGUUAAUUGUUAAAUUGAAGACUGAGCUAAACAUGUAGAACUGUAAGUGUAGGAUUUGCGCACGCGGGUUCGAUCCCCGCCGCCUCCAA